UUGCACUAUAUGCUAACUAACUUGGAUGUAAAUUUAAAAAAUAAAAUAACAAAGUAAAUAAAAAUUAAAAAAAUAAAAUCAAGCUCAAUAGGAAGCUAUGUUCCCAUCCAUAUGCUUCAAAGCUCAAUUGUUCCAGUAGUUCUCUCUCCAUGUGCUGCUUCUGGAUACUUAAUGGAUUGAGCCAUUUGUUUGGGGGGUCUAUAGCUAUUUGGGGAGGGGCUAUGCUUCAUUUGUUUUUUCAAUUAGUCAUUCAAUAUUUAUGGAAUGUAUUAUACUGUGCACUAGACCUGCCCUAGGCUCUAUGCUACAGCAAUGAACAAAACAGAUAAGCAUCCCCAUCCGCAUGGUGCUUAUAUCCUAGUCUGGAAGAAAAGACAAUAAACAAGAUAAGUAAAAUUUAGAGUAUAUUACAUAACCAUAAGGGCUAAGGAAGGAGGAGAAAAAAGCAGGAAAGGUGAAGAUAAAGGAUAAGUUUAUUAUGAAAGGUCUCUCUGAGAUGGUGAUAUUGAUGACAGUCAAAGAUGUGAAAAGAAAGCAUGCAUACCUGUUGAGCAAGAGCAUUUAAAGCAACCAGAAUUGCAUGUGCAAAGGCCCUGAGGGUGAGACAGUGCCUGGUCAUGAGGUCAGUGUGACUGGAAGAGUGAUGCAGGGGAGAAUAAUAAAAGAUUGUCAGGUGGGUAACUGGGUUGCUUGCUUAUAGGACCUUGCAGGUUCCAGCAAGGUUUUGCCUUAUUCUAAGAGAUCUGACUUAUUUCUAGUCAUUUGUAUUAUCUACACUCAGCACCGUAAGGUAAAUAAGAAAUCAUCAAGGGCCUUUAAAGUCCCUGGAAAGGGAGGAUGUGGCCUUUUAGGCAGCACACACCUGCCUCUUGUGAUGAGGUGCUGAGGCUACCCCAAUGAGGUCAGGUCACAGCACAAUCACACAACCAAAUAUAGGCAGACCUGGCUCUGUUGAAGAAAAGACUGUGCCAAGACCAGGACACCAGUGAUUGGAUGUAGGGCCCACCCUAAAUCCAGAAUGAACUCAAGAUCCUUAAUUACAUUAGCAAAGACCCUUUUUCUAAAUAAGCUCACAAUUUACAGAAUACAACUAAGAAAGUGGUGUCCUACUCAAUUUUGUACCCUGAAUGAAGAAAGAAUUUGUAAAUAUGGUGAGGUGGAGUCAUCUGUGAGGAGUGAAAUGGCAACUAAAAGAAUCAGACAGCAUGGUGUGUCUCCAGCAUGGUCUGGGGGAAAGCUGCCUUCGCCAUGGAAUCAAGUAUGCCACUUCCCUGAAAGUUCUUUCUCCAUAGUGAUGAAGGAUGACCCCUCUAAGAUAAUGAGACUAACCUCCCUGACUAUGAUUUCAUGUCCACCAAGCUGUCUUGCCACAACUAACAGGCCCUUUUCCUGGAAAUUAAUGCAGCUUAUUAUGCUUCACAUUGGAAAAGCCAAAGAGCCAUAGCCUCACACCUUUCCAUGAAUUAUUCUAAAGUUGGCAGCAGACUACCUAAAUGAAAAAGCAACAGCAAAACAACACCCAGAGGUUACAGGAGCUGGGAUCUUGAACUUGGUGGUUUGGGAACCAGGUUUUGCUGCUGACAGUACAUUGGAAGCUAGAAUCUAGGACUGAGCCUGGCUUGGAGAUCAGUGGAGUUGGCCUGGAACAAGAAACCCUCUCAAAUACAAUUUGUGACAAUAGAAGGGAGUUUUCCAGCCAGUGCAUCCUGUGCAGCAGGAGACACAGAGACAGAAUCAAAGAAGAGCUGAGUUUUGGCAAUGGAAGAGAAAUCAGGGAGGAUGACUUCCACAGUGGCUGCCCAGUCAUGCGGGCUGGCACUAUGCCCUCAUCAAAGCAGUUCCUGCCAGCUUAUAUGCAGCAAUAGAGUCUGUUACCUGUGUUUUCUGACUUCUCCAAAUGGGCCUGUCAGCCCCUAUCACCCCAGAUAACCUAACCCAGUCCUUGUCACCUAUGCCUCACACAUAUCCCUCCCUUAGGCUUAAACUCCCAAUAACACACCCCAUCACUAUCUUGUCCUGUGGGAAUGGAGUGGCGAGAGUCUUGGAGCCCUGUAGACCCUGAUGCUUGAAUCCUAACCCCACUCUGACAUCCAGCUUUACUUCUUUCCCCAAGUAACUCUUUCCUUCCAUUGUCUGCCAGCUCCAAGAGAAAGAGUAUUAGGCCUAGGGGUGCUUUCCAACGGGCCCUGAGUGUUUGGGGUGUACAUCAAAUGUUUUCUGGGGGAACAGCAAGUCAAAUGCCGUAUGCAACUCAGAAGGCCAUACAAGUACAGAACCUCCAUAUCCUGGGCCCACCAAGGCCUUGGAGUGACUGGGGAAUGAAACUAGAAUCCUCUUCCAGGCCUUCAAACCCCACAGUUAGUCCCACUGUCUGCACAAGACAUCAGAGCUCACAGAAGUCCCCUUGUCUCUGAGGUUGGCCAGAGGAACAAGCUGCUAGUGAGUAUCAGUGCUAGAAAUGCUGGCAACAAGCAGCAUAGGACACUUUUUUUUUUGAGUUUUAUUGUUUUAUUUUUUUAAUAUGAAAUUUAUUAUCAAAUUGGUUUCCAUACAUCACCCAGUGCUCCUCCCAACACAUAGGACACUUUUAAUGCUCCUAUAAAGCAUGUGUAUUCUGAGGAACUUACACUCCUGAGCAGCUGGGGCUACAUCUGUAAAUGUCACACAUAAUGAGCUGUUCCAAGAAAGAUCCAGGAAUACAAAAAGCUUGAUUUCCUGGCUCCAGUGCCUCCCCUUGGAAACCUUCUCCUCUGAGGACAAUUUGGCAAAAGGUCAAAUUGGUAACUUGACCUUUACACACACACACACACACACACACACACACACACACGCACAGAGAGAGAGAGAGAGAGAGAGAGAGAGAGAGAGAGAACAAGAAAAUCACUUGGUUAUAUUAAGCAUCCCAUCACAUUCCUCUCUCAGGAAGGCAGGAUAGACAAAAAGAAAAAAUAAUUGACAAGGCACCUGUUUUUUUUACAUAGAUCUACUUCUUUCUAACUCUCUUGCAGGUUCUCUUGCUGUUCUAUUACUUGGUAACCAAUUGCCCCAGCUCCAAAUCUGUUCCUCCUUUCCAUAAUCAUAAUAUCUAGAAGUUGAGUUCCCAAGGCAACCACAAAUAUUUGUUAUUCUUUCUGCCAUGUGAUUUUCCCUAAAAAUAAACUCAGAUAUUUUUCCUACCA